rnacentral:rRNA from 1 species
CCUACGGGUGACAGCAGUGGGGAAUAUUGCACAAUGGGCGCAAGCCUGAUGCAGCGACGCCGCGUGCGGGAUGGAGGCCUUCGGGUUGUAAACCGCUUUUGUUCAAGGGCAAGGCACGGUCUUUGGCCGUGUUGAGUGGAUUGUUCGAAUAAGCACCGGCUAACUACGUGCCAGCAGCCGCGGUAAUACGUAGGGUGCAAGCGUUAUCCGGAUUUAUUGGGUUUAAAGGGUGCGUAGGCGGUCCGGAAAGUCAGCGGUAAAAGCCCGGGGCUCAACCCCGGCGAGCCGUUGAAACUGUCGGACUAGAGACGGCGAGAGGUACGCGGAAUGCGCGGUGUAGCGGUGAAAUGCAUAGAUAUCGCGCAGAACUCCGAUUGCGAAGGCAGCGUGCCGGCGCCGGACUGACGCUGAGGCACGAAAGCGUGGGUAUCGAACAGGAUUAGAUACCCCAGUAGUC